GACGAACCGUGCGAACGUUGUUCGGAAUCACUGGGCUUAAAGGGCGCGUAGGCGGGCUUGCCGGUCCGGGGUGAAAGCCCCCAGCUCAACUGGGGAAGCGCCUUGGAUACCGCAAGCCUGGAGGGAGGUAGGGGCGUGCGGAACUUCCGGUGGAGCGGUGAAAUGCGUAGAUAUCGGAAGGAACAUCAGUGGCGAAGGCGACUUCCUGGACCAAUACUGACGCUCAGGUGCGAAAGCGUGGGGAGCAAACAGG
rnacentral:rRNA from 1 species